rnacentral:sRNA from 1 species
ACUCAACGCUAUUCAAUUAAAAAGGAUGAGUCUUGAUUAGGAAAGCAUGCCGCCAUAGAGUGGAUCCUUGAUCAAUCAGUUAGUCCUAAACUUGUUUUUUUGGAGUUU